rnacentral:rRNA from 1 species
AGUGAACGCUGGCGGUAGGCCUAACACAUGCAAGUCGAACGGCAGCACAGUAAGAGCUUGCUCUUACGGGUGGCGAGUGGCGGACGGGUGAGGAAUACAUCUGAAUCUACUUUUUCGUGGGGGAUAACGUAGGGAAACUUACGCUAAUACCUCAUACGACCUACGGGUUAAAGCAGGGGAUCUUCGGACCUUGCGCGAUUGAAUGAGCCGAUGUCGGAUUAGCUAGUUGGCGGGGUAAAGGCCCACCAAGGCGACGAUCCGUAGCUGGUCUGAGAGGAUGAUCAGCCACACUGGAACUGAGAAACGGUCCAGACUCCUACGGGAGGCAGCAGUGGGGAAUAUUGGACAAUGGGCGCAAGCCUGAUCCAGCCAUACCGCGUGGGUGAAGAAGGCCUUCGGGUUGUAAAGCCCUUUUGUUGGGAAAGAAAAGCAGCAGGUUAAUACCCCGCUGUUCUGACGGUACCCAAAGAAUAAGCACCGGCUAACUUCGUG